GAGAUCUUUUUAAAGAAAUACUUGUUUCUUAAUUUGGGUACCACUAAUUUUUUUCUCUGUCCCAUCAUACAGAUUAAUGAAUGAUAAUUUUUUUUGCUUCCUGAUUUUAGAUUGAUGUAGUGUGUUUCCUAUGCAGUUGUCAGUGCCAUAUGAUUCACAUAUAUCAUCUUUUUUUUUCUCUCAAAGCCUUAAACAAGUUUUAUUUUAUACCUGCUGUCUGUUCAUUUCCAGUUCAAAUUUUAGCCAGUUUGAAUAAACUGUUUUUAAGGAGAAUUAUUACAAAUUAUAAAAUUUAGACCUUAUUUUGUUCUUUUUGUAGUAAGGACAUAUUUUCCUUGCAGUUUGCGAAGAUAAGUACAAUAGAAGAAUGUAAACUAAGUAAGAAGUACAUAGGAAGUUGAAGAAAGGAAUUCUGAUAACUGGAAAAUAGAGCCAGAGAUGGUGUAAAUGCAGUGAUGGGUAAAACUGUCAGUGGCCUUGGCAGGACAUGAGGCGAUGGUACCCACAUGUACAUUGCAUUCUUCACCACCACAUAUUCAGAGUAAACUUUUUGAAAAGUCAGUUUCAUUUCAAAACGACCCUGAUGAAACAACAAAAACUGAUUAUAUUGAAUCUCAACUUGCUCAGCUUCCACAGAAUAUGAUACAAUUCGGUCAAGCUGGAUGGAAAUUCUUCAGGAAAACCCAACAAUGAUAUCCCAAUGUUUAGAGUCUUCUGCAAGGAUUCUAGUACAAAUAAAUUCUAGAGCACUAAGG